rnacentral:rRNA from 1 species
GACGAACGCUGGCGGCGUGCUUAACACAUGCAAGUCGAACGGAAAGGCCCUGCUUGCCGGGUGCUCGAGUGGCGAACGGGUGAGUAACACGUGGGUGAUCUGCCCCUUACUUUGGGAUAAGCCUGGGAAACUGGGUCUAAUACUGGAUAGGACCAUGCUGUAGGUGGUGUGGUGGAAAGAUUAGUUUCGGUAAGGGAUGAGCUCGCGGUCUAUCAGCUUGUUGGUGGGGUAAUGGCCUACCAAGGCGUCGACGGGUAGCCGGCCUGGGAGGGUGGACGGCCACAUUGGGACUGAGAUACGGCCCAGACUCCUACGGGAGGCAGCAGUGGGGAAUAUUGCACAAUGGGCGCAAGCCUGAUGCAGCGACGCCGCGUGGGGGAUGACGGCCUUCGGGUUGUAAACUCCUUUCAGCCAUGACGAAGCCCUUGUGGUGACGGUAGUGGUAGAAGAAGCACCGGCUAACUACGUG